UUGAACAUUUGAAAAGCAGACAAAGCAAAAAUACAGACUAAGGAAAUAUCUGUAUUAUUCCUUGAGUAUUUUGGUAAACUGUUUCUGUAAACGUUUUAUAAAUAAACUCUUUAUCCUUACUGGCAGCCUUGCAAUUGUGACUGACAGUUUUCUUAGGAUACUUGGAAAGUUUCCUUUAGGGUGGCAUGAAGAAGCAGAAGGCCUGAAUGAUUCAACAGGUCACCCAAGUAAUGUGGAGAUAUGCAGUGGUAGGCUCCUAGGGAUGGCAGAACUAGAUGUGCUCCAGCAACUAGCAAAAAAAGAGGAAGGAUAUCAGAUUCUUACAUGUGUUAUAUGCCACUACCACGCCAUGGCCACUGUGCACUGAACAUGAACUCAGCUCUCAUUUUCCUCUCCCUGGAUUCGUGUGAAAACAAGGCCCAGUAGAAUUGCAGAAUCACUUGGAAACCGGAUCAGUGAGACCUGACUGAAUGGAGGAAAGCCACACCUUAAAGAGUACAUCUUCCAUGGACAACCAAGCAAGUUUAGUGCUACAGUUUUUUAUGAUCUUCCGUUGCCUAUUUUCAUUUCUUAUCGAUUUUAAAUAUCCAUAAUUGACAUUAUUAUUGCCAAGCACAGUUGAAGACAGAACAGAAAAAUAAACAGAGUCACAAGACUUGUGUUAUGCUUAUGGAGGGGUAAAACAUAAACAAACCAACACAUAUUUACCAUUACUGGUAUAAAAAGAGAAGAAUAAGGUGAUUAA
rnacentral:lncRNA from 1 species